GGGCCGCUAGGCGUGCAGGCGAACAGCUCAAGCCGACAGCGCUCCGGCACGCGCAGCGGUGACUGUGGCUCCGAUGGCCGUAGCACGCCUGCACGAACACGUGGUUUCGACUAAGAACAGCCGUGUACAAAUUAGACAGUUAUGCAGACCAGGCUGGAGUGUUUGACCUGACCACGACUUUCCGUAUCAGGUUGCAAUUGCCUUCAACGAGCCAGAGGAGUUGCCAGGAUGCCUGCGCAGCAGAGCUGGUGCGCUGUUAGAUUUUCCCGCGAUCCUUGACACCCUGGAAUCCAUCGUGUUUGUGAUGCACUUUACUUCCACCGCACGAUAUAAGUUAUAUUGGCAGAUACCCAGAAGCUGAAGACUUGUUCAUAGUGUGAGUACUGCCUAUAAAUACACGAACCUUGUGGGAGUGCCCAACUUCCGCCACUUCUAAAAACAGAUUACAGUCACCAUAACCAUCCAAUAAGCACCCCGGUUGCUGGAAGGAUGGUACCACUCGCACACUAGCGCUCGAAGCCUGGUGGCCACGUCUGGAGCAAUGCACCAAGUAUGUACGGUACCAGAAGCCUUGAGCCUACCAAAAAUGCCCACAAUAGGGCUAGAAUUAGGCCCCGACAAGAAAGCGACAGUCUUAAUCUUAAUCUCGCAGCACUGAAAUUCCUCUGCACUGCUUCUGUUCUUGCACGGAACAACUCUACGUUUGCCUAGUAGGUGGUAAACAGGCAUGCUUGUCAAUAUUUAUGAUAAUAAGAAGACUUUAUUUCCAUCCAGACAGUGAUGGGAGAAGAUGUUUCUCUUCGACUUUACGUUGAAUCCUCUCAGCAAAGGAUUUAAACAUAUGCUGUUGUAUUUGUUGUAUCGGUGAUUUCAAUGAAUCUAUGCAGUGUUCGCUUCACUUUGCUGAACGCUUGUAGCCACAGCCUUACGCGUGUGUGAGCCAUUGCAUUUUUUUGCUUGCUUAGUGGGGCUUGAGCCAUUGAGAAGGUCACCUUGUUUUUUUUUUUACUACUCGACUAGACGCCGCGUUUCUGAAAGUUGUACGCGUCGUUACAAUGACUGCAUGUACUCUACGCUUCACUUUGCUGAUUGCUUGUAGCCAUCGCAUUUUUUUUUGCUUGCUGAGGAGUCUAUGAGCCAUUGCUGAUGAUGAUAGUUUUUGUACCGUUGGACCGGACGACGUGUCUUUCUUUUUCAGGGCCAUCGUUAGUAUGAGCCACUUAAAAGGACAGACAACAGCGCAGUACAUCAAUCGAGAUUACCCCGCUGACGCAAUGAUUCUCUAUUGUAGUGGCUACAACCAUGCAUGUUUUUCUCAUUAAACGUGGAUCUAUAUAUUUA